rnacentral:lncRNA from 1 species
UGGAAGGAUAAAUACUAUUACAUUUGAUUAUUAGCUAAUGCUAAAUAAGAUAGUUUGAUGUGAGGGAGGGGGCAUGUGGAUGAGGUCAGACGGAGGUGUAAAAGAAGAAUCUAGUGUAACGUGAUGCUCUUCGAAUUAAAGUUGAAUGAUAUUGUGAACUUAAUAAAGUACUCUGUCUUUUGUGAGAAGGAAUGGUGAAACAGAGCAUGAAAAAGGUCGGCAGGUACUGUAUCGUACAGGGUUGG